rnacentral:ncRNA from 1 species
GCCGGUCCUCGGUAGUGGCCCCCGGGCUGCUGUCCCGGGAGCUUCGAUCGAUGGCCGGC